AAUUUAGUGACAAAACACUUAGGAGAGAAAGGGUUUAUCUUGGUUUGUGAUUUUGGCAGUCCUGCACAUCAGGGGGCAGGGGUAGGGGCUCACAGUGGUGGCGCUUGAAGCCAGAAGUCUGCAGUCACACUGGAGAGCAGAGAGAAAGGUGUGCACUUUAGCACUCAGUGCAAACCAAGGGACAGGAGGCCAAGUCUUCCCACAUUAAUCAACAAAAUCUAAGAUGGCAGUCCCCCAAAGACGUGUUCUCAGACCAACCUCAUCUCGGUGAUCCUCGCUGAGACUCUUCCGGGGUGGCUAAGUUGUGUCCAGUUGACAGGAUGAUGUAAUGUGAUGUAAUUAUACAAGGAUGUAACUGUGGAAUUCGGGAGUUGUGGAAAGUGGCUGCAACCCAAGCAGGUGGUGGCUCAGGCCAGGAGAGCUGCCAUGGAGGUGGGUGGAAACAGUCAGGCAGAGGCUACCAAGACUUGUUGAAGGACCGGAUGUGGGCCGAGUCACUGAGACACACUUUGCUGCUACAGGGAGGCAGGCAGCUGCCCUUGCUGAGGUGGGGGAAGCUGUGGGUGAUAGCAGCUCAGAACAUGGUGGGGAGAGGGAGGGCUGGGAAAUAGUAAGUUCAGAAUAAAGGGGGAAGAGGAACAAAUGGAGCUGAGAGAACUGAGGGAUGCUUAGGAAUGUACCUGGGUGGUUGGUGAUGGAGACUCCACAGAGGUGAUGGGAGGGACUAAGGGCCUUGUGAGAAGGUAGGGCUUUUUCUUUUCUGCUAUCUGUGCUCAGGUGAUUUUGUGAGUUUCCAGGGAUGCUAUAUCCACAAACCAGGAGGCUUAAACAUCUAGAAUACAUCCUCUUACAGGCUGAAAUCAACAGGAUGGCAGGGCCAUGGCCCCUCUGAAGGUUCUAGGAGAAGCUACUGCCCCGUCUCUUCCAAGCUGAAGGUUCCGGGAAUCAGAUUGAGGCACUGUGUCUAAUCUCUGUCUCAACCCCUGUGCGGCCUUUACUCUGUGUCUAUCUCUGUCUUCUCUUCACAUUCAUCAUUAUUGUUAUUAUUACAUGAGUGUAUUGCCUACACAUAUGUACGUAUGUGUGCUAUAUGCAUGCAGUACACACAGAAGUCAGAAAAGGUCACUAGAAAUCAGAAACCCUGAAAAUGGAGUUAGGGAUGCUUAUGGGUCACCAUGAAGGUGUUGGGAACUGAACUCUGGUCCUCUGUAAGAGCAAGGAGUGCUCUUAACUGCUGAGCCAUCUCUUCUGUUCCCCUGCAGACCCUUAUAAAGGAACAUGUCAUUGGGUUGAAGCCACACUAAUCAAAUGCCAUGUAGACCCCUAAUUAUAUCUGCACGAUCCUCUAUCCAGUAAGGCUCCUGGCAUAGUGAACUUUUCCAUUCAUGUUACGAUCACCUGUCAAUACCUCUCUCAUAGCCUUCAUGAGUCUCAUUCCAACUCGCAAACACCAAAGCCAGGAGGAACAGCAGCAUGCUUGGCUUUGCACCUACAAAUUCUAAAAAGGUUUCAUCUUCCUUCGGGAGACACAGGCAUGAUGCUUUCUGUUGGCCUGGGGCCGCAGCUACCAGAGAAAAGCAGGCUCGAGGUUUGGUUUCCCUCAAUGCAGCAGUAUUUCCUCAGUGUGCAGGAGCAGGAGUUUUUGUUGAGACAGAAAGGACUCCUGAGAUAAAAGAUGCUUUUGAAAUGGUGGCAUCCUUUUACCUGGACCAUAAGAUAAGGU
rnacentral:lncRNA from 1 species